rnacentral:rRNA from 1 species
UACGUAGGGGGCAAGCGUUGUCCGGAUUUAUUGGGCGUAAAGAGCGUGUAGGCGGCCAAGCAGGUCCGCUGUGAAAACUCGAGGCUCAACCUCGAGACGUCGGUGGAAACCGUUUGGCUAGAGUCCGGAAGAGGAGAGUGGAAUUCCCGGUGUAGCGGUGAAAUGCGCAGAUAUCGGGAAGAACACCCGUGGCGAAGGCGGCUCUCUGGGACGGUACUGACGCUGAGGAGCGAAAGCCAGGGGAGCAAACGGG